CUCACAUUCAAUUGCAUAAAUGCAUACACAUUUAAUUGCAUUACCGAAGAGGGAAAAUAUUCACAAGCAUUUCCGCAUUUCGUCGACUUCUCUUGCCUUAGUUGGUAUGGAGGGUGAUUGGCAUUUCAGUCAUGAUCAUCCGUUAACUUCCUUUGUAGUUUGUAGUAAAUGAUAAGGAAGUGGAUGAGACUGAUAACUUUCAUUCUUGCAAAAUUUGUGGUUUGCCAAUUCUAUCUGCUCCUUCCUACACUUGCAUCUUUGUUGCUUGUGAUUUUUUUCUGCACGAAUCAUGUGCUCACAAAUUCCACCAAAAAUUUAUCCAUCCCAAUCAUAGGCCGGGAAAUAAAGACCACACGCUUCGUCUCAAAGAAGGAAGUCCCAAUUUCACAUUCAAAUGUGAGGAUUGCAAUUUUGAAAUGCAUCCUCUAGUUGCAGUGGAUGGUGUUGAGAUCAAAACCAAACACAAGAGCCAUCCACCUCACCCGCUUGUGGCUCUUUGUAGAAAGAUUUUGUCUACAUGCGAUGGCUGUGGUGGGGAACAUGGUGGUUUCUUCUUCUCGUGCCAACUCUGUAAUUUCUGGAUUCAUCAAAACUGCACCAUACUACCUACCGCUCUCAAACUCUUCUCUAAUCCUGAACCUUACCUUCUCGCUUAUUCUAUUCCUACCCAAAUCCGAAAAAUUGAGUGCAUAGUUUGCCAUCAACCCUUGCUUCAUUCCCAUAAUGCCAUCUAUUUUUGCCCACCAACUCUGAGAUUUUCUCAUGUCAGAUGUGGACUCGAGAAUAAUCAAUCCGCAACAAGACUAAAGUUGAUCCAACUUCCAGACGACGAGUUGGACACAUUUCCAAGUUUGGAGUUCCGUGCAUACUCGCAACCUGAUGAGGGUCCUAGUGAUGAAGAUGUGAAGCUUGCAUUGAGAAUUUUCACAAACAUCCUUUGAUCCUAGUUGGUGAUGAGGAAGAUGACCAAAAUUAUAAUUAUAAAAAACUAAUGUGUGAUAUAUGCAUACAGACCAUUCCUAUUCCAUCUCAAUUUUACAGAUGCUCUCAACAAACUGGAGGCUGCUCUUUCCUUGCACAUAAAUGCUGUUCAGAAAUUCUCCCUACUAUCAAGUUUGGGAUUCCAUAUGAUGAGACCAGCGAUCUAUUAUUAAAGGCACGACCAUCUCCGUGCCCGAACAAAUGGUUCUUCAAUUCAAUAUUUUUCUGUUUUUUCUGCUCUCUUCCUUGCAAUGGACCUUGCUAUACUUCUUUUUUGAAUUUCAACAUCCUUUACAUGAUGUCCCCUUGAUGACUAUCUGUCGUGCAUGGCUGCUCCAAGCAUUAUAAAGCACAGCUCACACAGCCAACACCUUCUCUUUCGCACUGCACGCCAUUCGCGGGCCUCCUCCAUCAGUUGUUGUUCCCGCGGCUCCACCCUACUUGAUGUCUAUAGGUGCACUACCUGCGAUUUCUACAUUCAUAUGAGGUGCGCCUUGCUACCAAAAAGGGUUCAGUUUCAUAAAUUUGAUCAACAUCCUCUGCAUUUGAUCACUAACGGUACUAGUAAUAGUAUUGGUAGAGAUCACGACAUCUUUGAGGUGUGUGAGGAAGGUAUAGAGUGCAAGUAUUGGUUCUACCGAUGUGCUAAAUGUGACUACUCUUUCCACAUAAACUGCAUUCCCUCGCUCGGCUAUUUGUCCAAAGUCAAGUUCGGAGGCAAGUUUAGUAUUGCUUCUCACUCUCAUACUCUCACUCUUACGCGGAUGCUUACUUACAGAAGAAAUGAGAAGUGUGGGUAUUGCCACAAAAUCAUCCCGGGAUUGGUGGAUCAAGCGGCUUUCUCAUGUUCACAAUGCGAAUAUUGGAUUCAUUUUUCUUGUGCGAGGGAUUCACUCUCAUCCUCUUAUGAUUUCCAGAUCCAUGGUUUUCGGGGAACUCGAUGUACAGUCGAUAUAUGAUAUUUUAAGUAUGUUUCAAUUUGAGUAAUCUUUUGUCUUGUAUAUAUGAGUGAAUAAAAUAAUCCUUUCUUCACAAAGCUUUUUAACGGGGCAUUCGGUUGUAACUUGUAAGUUGUAACU